GUGCCGGAGCAGACCAACAGGGAUUGCCUUAGUAACGGCGAGUGAAGCGGCAAUAGCUCAAAUUUGAAAUCUGGCGCUUGCGUCCGAGUUGUAAUUUGUAGAGGAUGAUUUUGGUUAGGUACCUUUCGAGUUCCUUGGAACAGGACGCCUUAGAGGGUGAGAGCCCCGUACGAUUGGAUGCCGAGCCUCUGUAAAUCUCCUUCGACGAGUCGAGUAGUUUGGGAAUGCUGCUCUAAAUGGGAGGUAAAUUUCUUCUAAAGCUAAAUACCGGCCAGAGACCGAUAGCGCACAAGUAGAGUGAUCGAAAGAUGAAAAGCACUUUGAAAAGAGGGUUAAAUAGCACGUGAAAUUGUUGAAAGGGAAGGAUUUAUGACCAGACUUUUUCUAGGAGGAUCAUCCGGUGUUCUCACCGGUGCACUUCUUCUAGUUUAGGCCAGCAUCGACUUCUGGCGGCGGAUAAAAGCUUUAGGAAUGUGGCUCCCUACGGGGAGUGUUAUAGCCUAUUGUAUAAUACGCUGCUGGGGGUCGAGGUACGCGCUUCUGCAAGGAUGCUGGCGUAAUGGUUAUCAAUCACCCGUCUUGAAACACGGACCAAGGAGUCGAACAUUUAUGCGAGUGUUUGGGUGUUAAACCCUCACGCGUAAUGAAAGUGAACGGAGGUGAGAGCCCUUACGGGUGCAUCAUCGACCGAUCCUGAAGUUUUCGGAUGGAUUUGAGUAAGAGCAUAACUGUUCGGACCCGAAACAUAGU
rnacentral:rRNA from 1 species